UACAGAGGGGGCAAGCGUUAUUCGGAAUUAUUGGGCGUAAAGAGCUCGUAGGCGGUUUGUCGCGUCUGCUGUGAAAACCCGAGGCUCAACCUCGGGCCUGCAGUGGGUACGGGCAGACUAGAGUGCGGUAGGGGAGAUUGGAAUUCCUGGUGUAGCGGUGGAAUGCGCAGAUAUCAGGAGGAACACCAAUGGCGAAGGCAGAUCUCUGGGCCGUAACUGACGCUGAGGAGCGAAAGCAUGGGGAGCGAACAGG
rnacentral:rRNA from 1 species